UACGUAGGGUGCGAGCGUUGUCCGGAUUUAUUGGGCGUAAAGAGCUCGUAGGCGGUUUGUCGCGUCGGCCGUGAAAUCUCCACGCUUAACGUGGAGCGUGCGGUCGAUACGGGCAGACUUGAGUUCGGUAGGGGAGACUGGAAUUCCUGGUGUAGCGGUGAAAUGCGCAGAUAUCAGGAAGAACACCGAUGGCGAAGGCAGUGGGCUGGGCCGGUACUGACGCUGAGGAGCGAAAGCGUGGGGAGCGAACAGG
rnacentral:rRNA from 1 species